CUGCGCCACAAGUGGGAACCAUAAUUAUUGGGCCUAAAGCGUCCGUAGCCGGUUUGAUAAAUCUUUUGUGAAAUUGUUGGGCUCAACUCAACAACGUGCAGAAGAGACUGUUGAACUUGGGACUAGAGAGGGGUUAGAAGUAUUUCUGGGGGAGCGGUAAAAUGUUAUAAUCCUAGAAAGACUACCUGUGGCGAAGGCGUCUAACCAGAAUAGAUCCGACGGUGAGGGACGAAAGCUAGGGGAGCGAUCCGGAUUAGAUACCCGAGUAGUCC
rnacentral:rRNA from 1 species